rnacentral:rRNA from 1 species
GGCGGACGGGUGAGUAAUACUUAGGAAUCUGCCCAUUAGUGGGGGACAACUAGAAGAAAUUCUAGCUAAUACCGCAUACGCCCUACGGGGGAAAGCGGGGGAUCUUCGGACCUCGCGCUAAUGGAUGAGCCUAAGUCGGAUUAGCUUGUUGGUGAGGUAAUGGCUCACCAAGGCGACGAUCCGUAGCUGGUCUGAGAGGACGAUCAGCCACACUGGGACUGAGACACGGCCCAG